rnacentral:rRNA from 1 species
AUACCCUAUUAUUUAAGAGCUAAAUAUUGUAAGUAUAUAAUAAUUACGAAAGCAAAAAAUUAUGGCGGUAUUUUAAGCUUUUCAGAGGAAUUUGCUCUUUAAUGGAUAAAACACCUAAAUCUUACUUAAAUUUGUUAAAUCAACUUGUAUACCACUAUUAAAACAAUUAUUAACUCUAAUUGUUAAUAUUUAAAACAUAAAUUAAUUUAAAUUAAGUCAAGGUGCAGUAAAAAUUUAAGAAUGAAGUGAAUUACAUUACUUUUAAGGGAAAUAAAAUUAAAUAAAGUUUAGGAUUUGAAAGUAAAAUUAAAAUAGAAUGUUAAUUUGAAUUAAGCUCUAAAAUAUGUACAUAUCGCCCGUC